AGAACUCUUAGUUUGAAUGGCUGAAUGAUAGGGCCGGACUUAUUCGGAUAACCCCCUUGAAGAGCCAUCCCUGAUACUCCGACGUGCAUCACAUAGCGAAAGCUAAGAUGUGCGAAGCUCGGUGAAGUCGGCAGAAAGAGUACCUAAAUCAACGAAAAAGAUAAGUACAGUUGGUACAAAAGUGGCCAGAGCCCGCCUGCUGAAAAGUCUCCAGUAGAAGACAUGGGAAAUGAUAUGCCGGGGGUCUAUAAA
rnacentral:ncRNA from 1 species